CUUCACUCCAAGUGAGUUACUCCUUUCUACUACGUACCUUGUCCACGGCAGCAACGCCCUGACAGCACCUGGAGCAAUCAGGAAUCAUGGCAGCUACAACUCACAUGGAGAGUGCUGCAGGUAUACCUGUGUAAUCCAUGGAACUCAAAGUACUUCCUGGCAGAAAGUGGAGGGAUCCUCAUUAUGGGAAUGCUGUGAAUGAUCCCAUCACAGAAUAGACAUCCGCUGCAGCCGGCAAUACAGCAAGUCAUUCAUCAUCGUGCUCCCACAGCUCCCAAGUGACUCCUUAAAGCCUGCGGGAAAUGUUUACAGGUCCAGACAAGAUGCAGCUCCAAC